UACAUAGGUCGCAAACGUUAUCCGGAAUUAUUGGGCGUAAAGGAUGCGUAGAUGGUUUGAUAAGUUACUGGUGGGAAAUCGAGGCCCAACCUCGUGGAAGUUAGUAAUACUGUCAAACUUGAGUGCAGGAGAGGUUAACGGAACUUUAUGUGGAGCGGUAAAAUGCGUAGAUAUAUGAAAGAACAUCAAGCGGCGAAGGCAGUUAACUAUUCUGCUACUGACAUUGAGGCAUGAAAGCGUGGGGAGCAAAACGG
rnacentral:rRNA from 1 species